rnacentral:rRNA from 1 species
GCAGCAGAGUGCUAUGUGGGUGAGGAUACCCCAUGCGUGUAUGUGAGACAUAUAUAUCUCACAUCGCAAUCUGCAUAGUCACACGAUAUCAUGUGGCUCUGUGGAGAUAUAUAAUCUCGAGAACGCGAAGAUAGCGUCUUAUAGUGUAGAGUCUUCAAAGUAUUUCAUACUGAGAGGUAUAAGAUAUAUUGUUCUUAUCCGUCAUAGUAUAGUAUCGCGCUAGCUUAGGGUUGUGGGAGAGGUCAGCUCUCCACAAGAAUAUAAUCUAUAGGCCCCGAGAGAGGGGGACCCCCAAGAUGUGUAGUGAGACAGCGACUCACGCCUUGCGAGGCGCAACAUGUAGGAAAUCUCCGCAACACGACAAAGUGUGACGGGGACACCCAAAGUUCUAUUAUAAUACUGUCCCAUGAGAGUAAUGUCCCUUUCGAGAAGGGAGAGGCCAGUGUUGGCCCCCUCCGCCGGUAAAAACCCAUCUCUUAAAGUUGUGGGGAUAUUUUUUGCGCUAAAAGUCUCUGUACCCUUUUUAGUAAGUUCCUUGAAAAAUCAUUUAGCCUAACUAUGCAUAUUAGGGGAAUGACCCUAUUCUAGGGGGCGGGAGAUGUGUGAGGUAACACAGGGGUAGGGGAAAAAUUUUAUUCUCCGUGUACGCCCCCCAGGCGAGAGCGUGUCAGACGGCAGCGCCCUCCGCGGUGAGGGACGAAACACGGGGGAGAGACCCGUAUUAGAUACCCGGGGUCUCGUCACUAUAAAAGACGCAUUUUAGGUGCUGGUUCUCCCGAGAGCCGUCUCAGUCCUGGAGGGAAACCGUUAAGUGCCCCGCCAGAGAAGUACGGUCGCAAGGCAAAAACAAAAAAAUAGGGGCGGGGGAUCCC